rnacentral:rRNA from 1 species
UACGUAGGCAGCAAACGUUGUUCGGAAUUACUGGGCGUAAAGAGUGUGUAGGCGGUCCUGUAAGUUUGGUGUGAAAUCUCCCGGCUCACCUGGGAGGGGGCGCUGGAGACUGGCGAACUGGAGGCAGGGAGAGGUCGGUGGAAUCCCCGGUGUAGUGGUGAAAUGCGUAGAGAUCGGGAGGAACACCAGUGGCGAAAGCGGCCGACUGGACCUGUCCUGACGCUGAGGCGCGAAAGCGUGGGGAGCGAACCGG